CCUAUGGGUGGCAGCAGUGAGGAAUAUUGGUCAAUGGACGAGAGUCUGAACCAGCCAAGUAGCGUGAAGGAUGACUGCCCUAUGGGUUGUAAACUUCUUUUAUAUGGGAAUAAAAUGUUCCACGUGUCGGAUUUUGUAUGUACCAUAUGAAUAAGGAUCAGCGAACUCCGUGCCAGCAGCCGCGGUAACACGGAGGCUCCGAGCGUUACCCGGAUUUAUUGGGUUUAAUGGGGGCGUAGGUGGAUUGUUAAGUCAGUUGAGAAAGUUUGCGGCUCAACCGUAAAAUUGCAGUUGAAACUGGCAGUCUUGAGUACAGUAGAGGUGGGGGGAAUUCGUGGUGUAGCGGUGAAAUGCUUAGAGAUCACGAAGAACUCCGAUUGCGAAGGCAGCUCACUGGACUGCAACUGACACUGGGGCUCGAAAGUGUGGGUAUCAAACAGGAUUAGAUACCCCAGUAGUC
rnacentral:rRNA from 1 species